rnacentral:rRNA from 1 species
AACGAACGCUGGCGGCAUGCCUAACACAUGCAAGUCGAACGAGACCUUCGGGUCUAGUGGCGCACGGGUGCGUAACGCGUGGGAACCUGCCCUUAGGUUCGGAAUAACUCCCCGAAAGGGGUGCUAAUACCGGAUAAUGUCUUCCGACCAAAGAUUUAUUGCCUUUGGAUGGGCCCGCGUUGGAUUAGCUAGUUGGUAGGGUAAAAGCCUACCAAGGCGACGAUCCAUAGCUGGUCUGAGAGGAUGAUCAGCCACACUGGGACUGAGACACGGCCCAGACUCCUACGGGAGGCAGCAGUGGGGAAUAUUGGACGAUGGGCGAAAGCCUGAUCCAGCAAUGCCGCGUGAGUGAUGAAGGCCUUAGGGUUGUAAAGCUCUUUUACCCGGGAUGAUAAUGACAGUACCGGGAGAAUAAGCUCCGGCUAACUCCGUG